rnacentral:rRNA from 1 species
AGAGCGAACGCUGGCGGCAGGCCUAACACAUGCAAGUCGAGCGCCCGUAGCAAUACGGGAGCGGCAGACGGGAUAGUAACACGUGGGAACGCGCCCUUCGGUUCGGAAUAACUCAGGGAAACUUGAGCUAAUACCGGAUACGCCCUUACGGGGAAAGAUUUAUUGCCGAAGGAACGGCCCGCGUCCGAUUAGCUGGUUGGUGAGGUAAUGGCUCACCAAGGCGACGAUCGGUAGCUGGUCUGAGAGGAUGACCAGCAUCACUGGGACUGAGACACGGCCCAGACUCCUACGGGAGGCAGCAGUGGGGAAUAUUGGACAAUGGGCGCAAGCCUGAUCCAGCCAUGCCGCGUGGAUGAUGAAGGCCUUAGGGUUGUAAAGUCCGUUUUAACGGGGAAGAUAAUGACGGUACCCGUAGAAUAAGCCCCGGCUAACUUCGCGCCAGCAGCCGC